rfam:Rhodobacter sp. LPB0142, complete genome.
GGCUCGGGAGCGCAUCGGUGGGACGAUGCGCAGGUAUGGGGCCGCUUCCUCCUUCAUUCGCCUGCGGCGCGCACCGGGCCCCGACGAUGCGCAC